rnacentral:misc_RNA from 1 species
CUUUCUUUUUGUCUUCCUUUCCUUUUAAUGCUCAAAAAGAUGCUCCUUUUACUUGCUGCGCCCUGCGGGACUGGAGAAGCUUUUUAUCUCUCUCAUCUUCACCUCACGUUUGUUACUCUCUGUCUUUGGCGGCUUAGUUGAGGUUUGAAAUUCUGGACUUUGAGUCUUUGAUAUAUAGUAACAGCUGAUACUUGUUGAGAAGCUGUUUCUCUGGAAUGAAACUCUGAAAUGGUGAAAAGUCAUAGCAUAUUUUGAAGUUGGUACCUUUUGGCUUUGUGGGUGUUUGGUAUUGUUAUUGGGAAAUUUGAAGUGUUUGGGAGGUGUUGAGUAGUACUGGGUUUUGUUACUAAGAGUUGGAUUACUUUUUAAUUUUUGUUCUGGGUAUGUUCUGUUGUGGAUAGCUUUUUGUAAUAUAGAUGAUCAUGGAUCCACGUUUAAAAGGAUUAUAUGGUUCUGUCAGUGGCUUAAAACUCAACGAUGAGAGCCUUUCUGUUUUAUCAGGUCAGAAUCUCGUUAGUGGAUUAAAGUUGGAUAAUUCUUUUGUUAGCCAAAACUAUGCCAAUAUUCCUCCUUUGCCAUCUGAUGUAACUCUAACCCCUAAUAAUUCAGUCUUGUCUUUGAGUAAGAGCCAAGUUGGGCAUUCCCAUGAGGAUUUUGAUUUCAGUGAUGUGGUUCUGAGGUACAUUAGUCAGAUGCUUAUGGAAGAAGAUAUAGAAGAGAAAACAUGUAUGUUUCAAGAAUCUUCAACAGCACUUCAAGCUGCUGAGAAAUCAUUGUAUGAGCUUAUUGGGGAGAAGUAUCCUCCUUCACCCAAUUGUGACUCAGUACUACCUCAUUUAGAUCAAAACCACAGAAGUUCAUAUCAAAAUCCUGACUUGAAUUACGUUAAUUGUGCAAGCAGUUCAAGCAGCACUAGUGGUAGUAACUUAAUAGAUCCUGGUUUGAACUUGAACUAUGAUCUGAGCGAGUACAAGUCGUUAAGAUAUGCUUCUCAAUCACCUUCCCAGUCAUCUCAUAACUCUGGGAACAGCACAGGUGCUGUUGUUGAUUGGCUUGUGGAUUCUCCAGUGAGUACAAUUUCUGAGAUAUUUAGUGACAGUGAGUCUAUUAUGCAGUUUAAGAAAGGAUUCGAAGAAGCAAGUAAGUUCAUUCCAAAUGGUAGUCUGUUUAUUGAUUUGGAGAGUAAUGGGCUGUUUCUUAAAGACCUGAAUGGAGAGUCUAAGGAUGUGGCUGUCAAGGUUGAGGAGAAGCAGGAGAUUGGGUACUUUCCAGAUGAUUCAAGGAAAAAGAAGAAUCCUUAUUCAGAGGAUUUGAAUAUAGAGGGAGGAAGGAGUAACAAGCAGUCUGCAGUUUCAACCGAAUCAACUGUAAGUUCAGCAGAUUUUGACACAAUAUUGCUGAACUGUGGACAAAGUGAAUCUGCACUCCGGGAAGCUUUGCAGAAUGGAAAAAGCAAGAAUGUGCAGCAGAAUGGACAAAUAAAAGGGUCUAGUGGUGGAAAAGGUCGAGGUAAGAAACAGGGAGGUAGGAGGAAUGUGGUGGAUUUGAGAACACUUUUGACCCUUUGUGCACAAGCUGUUGCAGCUGAUGAUCGUAGAAAUGCAAAUGAUCUACUGAAGCAAAUCAGACAGAAUGCUUCUCCUACAGGUGACGGGAUGCAGAGAGUGGCGCACAUUUUUGCUGAUGGCCUUGAGGCUCGCAUGGCUGGCUCAGGAACCCAGAUUUACAAGGCAUUUAUGAGAAAGCAUACGUCAGCUGCUGAUGUCUUGAAAGCAUACCAUCUGUUUCUUGCAGCAUGUCCUUUUAGGAAACUGUCCAAUUUCUUCUCAAAUAAAACAAUUAUGAAUUUAGCUCAAAAUGCAACAAAACUGCAUAUUGUUGAUUUUGGUAUUCUUUAUGGUUUCCAAUGGCCUUGCCUUAUUCAGCGUCUCUCAUCUAGGCCUGGUGGACCUCCCAAGCUUCGAAUUACUGGGAUUGAUUUUCCACAUCCGGGUUUCCGACCAGCGGUAAGGGUUGAGGAGACAGGACACCGCUUGUCAAACUAUGCAAAAACUUUCAAUGUUCCAUUUGAGUUUCACGCGAUAGCACAUAAGUGGGAUACAAUCAAAAUUGAGGAUCUAAAGAUUGAUAGAGAUGAGGUCCUUGUCGUGAACUGUCUGUAUCGAUUAAGAAACUUACUUGACGAGACUGUGGUUGUGGAGAGUCCACGAAAUAUUGUUCUCAAUCUGAUCAGGAAGAUGAACCCAGAUGUUUUUAUAACUGGGAUAGUGAAUGGAGCGUACAGCGCUCCAUUUUUUAUCACACGAUUCCGAGAGGCUCUCUUCCACUACACAACCCUGUUUGAUAUGCUGGAGACUAAUGUGCCUCGUGAAAUCCCAGAGAGGAUGCUGAUUGAGAGAGAUAUUUUUGGAUGGGAAGCAAUGAAUGUCAUUGCAUGUGAAGGUGCUGAGAGAAUUGAGAGGCCAGAGACAUACAAGCAGUACCAGGUUCGUGCUUUAAGGGCUGGGUUUAAGCAGCUUCCUUUGAACCAGGAGAUCUUUGCGGUAGCGAAGGAGAAGGUAAAUGCACUAUACCAUAAGGAUUUUGUGAUUGAUGAAAAUAGCCAGUGGUUGCUCCAAGGAUGGAAGGGUCGGAUUGUUUAUGCACUCUCUUCAUGGAAGCCGGAUUCUUAAUGUGCUCCAUUCCAUAUUGGUAGGCAGAGGAUCACAAGUUUCUACUUGUGGUCAAUGUCCUGCCUAUGUGCAAUGAUGGUUUCUUUCAUGAAUUUCUGAUCAAUGAACUUAAGGUCAAGGCACUUACCUGGAAACUGGGAGUGGAUCUUUUGCUGUUGCUGAUUAUGAUGCUAUUACACGGCAAUCCUGUAGUUGCAUGUAGCACCAGCAAUUAUCAAUUUGUCAAGGAGAAAGAUUCAUCUGGUGUACAUGAAACCUGAUUCGUCUUAUAUCUCUGGUGGGAAUGGCUUAUAACAUGGUAAACAUAUGAAUGCAGGAAAAAAAAGGAAGAGAAAGGGAAGAAAAAAAAAUGGUGCCUGAACACUGUCUCAAUGUUUCAUCAAAGAUAAAUCUAAAUAAUGAUUAUAUUUAGGGUAUUCAUAGUAAUUUUUAGGAUUUGAUAAUUGAUUUUGAGGACUCUUUGCAUAGAAAAAGAUAAUGUAAAUGCAGUAUUGCCCUGGCUGUUCUUGUACCUGAAAAUUUUGUUGCAAGGGGCCAUCUUGACUAUGUGAUUUAAUUUAAGUAGUCCUUGUAUGGUUUUUCCUUUUUUACUAAUAAUUUUUCAACUCAAGUGAUUGUAUUAGUAUUAUCCUUCAACCUUAAUUUGUAUAAUAAAAUUUUUUAAGUUU